UUUAGGAUGAUACUGAAUGUUGGAUUAGUUUGGCACUAUUGGUGGUUUGGUGCAAGAGCAACUUACUUGUUCUUGCCUCAAUAUCCCAGACAUCAUUCACCAUAUGUAUCGGUUCAAAAUCCAUCUGUGAAUUUCAAUAUUGGUGGAUAACAUACAGUCACAUCAUGAAAACAUAAAUUAAGAUAUACUAAGGGAUCCAUUCACUUCCAAUUGUCAUGACCGAGACAGAAAGAGGAAAACUUGAGAAAUACAAAGGCCACUUGAAUAUAUGACGAUACUUGGAGCAUCUGUCAAAAGAUCUGAAUCUAUGAAGUCAAGGUUGCUGUGUUGCCACUUCUGAGAGAUUCUAUUUGUUUCAGU